AUUAACGCUAGCGGCAGGCAUAAUACAUGCAAGUUGAACGGCAGCACAGGCAGCAAUACCGGGUGGCGAGUGGCGCACGGGUGCGUAACACGUAUGCAACCUACCCUAUACAGGCGAAUAACCUUUAGAAAUGAGGGCUAAUACGCCGUGGUAUUAUCUUGGGGCAUCUUGAGAUAAUUAAAGAUUUAUCGGUAUAGGAUGGGCAUGCGUCCCAUUAGUUAGUUGGUAGGGUAACGGCCUACCAAGGCUAUGAUGGGUAGGGG
rnacentral:rRNA from 1 species